UUGAAAUAAACCUGAUGGGUUGUUGCUGGUUCUCUAGGGAGCAUGUGCACACCUUGUCAUCUUUAUAUCUCCACCUGUGCACCUUUUGUAGACCUUUCAGGUCUAUGUUGCUUCAUUUACCCCAAUGUAUGUUAAUAGAAUGUUGUGCCUAUAUAAUUAAUAUAUA
rnacentral:misc_RNA from 1 species